UACGUAGGGUGCGAGCGUUAAUCGGAAUUACUGGGCGUAAAGCGUGCGCAGGCGGCUUUGCAAGACAGAUGUGAAAUCCCCGGGCUCAACCUGGGAACUGCAUUUGUGACUGCAAGGCUAGAGUACGGCAGAGGGGGAUGGAAUUCCGCGUGUAGCAGUGAAAUGCCUAGAUAUGCGGAGGAACACCGAUGGCGAAGGCAAUCCCCUGGGCCUGUACUGACGCUCAUGCACGAAAGCGUGGGGAGCAAACAGG
rnacentral:rRNA from 1 species